CUGGAUCUGCUUUGCGUCUCAUGGUUUAGUAUAUCACAUGAGAUCAUUCCAGAUUCAUUU
rnacentral:pre_miRNA from 1 species